AUUGAACGCUGGCGGCGUGCUUAACACAUGCAAGUCGAACGAGAACGGGCUAUAGCUUGCUAUAGUUGUCAGCUAAGUGGCGCACGGGUGAGUAAUGUAUAGGUAAUAUGCCUCUUACUAAGGGAUAACAAAUGGAAACGUUUGCUAAUACCUUAUACUCCUUAUUAACAUAAGUUAAUAAGGGAAAGAUUUAUUGGUAAGAGAUUAGCCUGUAUUGUAUCAGUUAGUUGGUGGGGUAAUGGCUUACCAAGACUAUGACACAUAACUGGUUUGGGGGGGUGAUCAGUCACACUGGAACGGAGACACGGGCCAGACUCCUACGGGAGGCAGCAGUGGGGAAUAUUGCACAAUGGACGAAAGUCUGAUGCAGCCACGCCGCGUGGAGGAUGACACAUUUCGGUGCGUAAACUCCUUUUAUAUGAGAAGAUAAUGACGGUAUUAUAUGAAUAAGCACCGGCUAACUCCGUGCCAGCAGCCGCCGUAACAC
rnacentral:rRNA from 1 species